GACGAACGCUGGCGGCGUGCUUAACACAUGCAAGUCGAACGGAAAGGCCCUGCUUUUGUGGGGUGCUCGAGUGGCGAACGGGUGAGUAACACGUGAGUAACCUGCCCUUGACUUUGGGAUAACUUCAGGAAACUGGGGCUAAUACCGGAUAGGAGCUCCUGCUGCAUGGUGGUGGUUGGAAAGUUUCGGCGGUUGGGGAUGGACUCGCGGCUUAUCAGCUUGUUGGUGGGGUAGUGGCUUACCAAGGCUUUGACGGGUAGCCGGCCUGAGAGGGUGACCGGCCACAUUGGGACUGAGAUACGGCCCAGACUCAUACGGGAGGCAGCAGUGGGGAAUAUUGCACAAUGGGCGGAAGCCUGAUGCAGCAACGCCGCGUGCGGGAUGACGGCCUUCGGGUUGUAAACCGCUUUCGCCUGUGACGAAGCGUGAGUGACGGUAAUGGGUAAAGAAGCACCGGCUAACUACGUG
rnacentral:rRNA from 1 species